AUGGCCACAAAACGCUUGGCAUGUUCAAGCUAAGCCUUUAACGGGAGACUGCAGGGCUAUAAACAGUUACAUUUAUUUUGAGGGACGGUACUGGAAACGGGGAAUUUAAAGCUAAACACGCGUCAGUCCAACUUGUGGAGGGUGUGCUUAUUAAUACAAAACCAAUUAGGCUGCCCGAUGAUGGUGAUCUGAUAACUGUAUGAAUGAUGGCUUUGGUGUCAAUGCAUCAUUCAAGUUUUUGACCUAUCAGCUUUCCGACGGUAGGGUAUUGGGCUUACCCGUGGGCAAUGACGGGUAACGGAGAAUUUAGGGUUUUGAUUUCCGGAGAGGGGAGCCUGAAAAAACGGCUACCACAUCUAAGGAAGGCAGCAGGCGCGCAAAUUACCCCAAUCCUGACAUAGGGAGGUAGUGACAAGAAAUAACAAUACAGGGCAUCCCAUGUCUUCGUAAUUUGGAAUGAAUAUAUCAAUUGGGAGGGGCAAGUCUGGGUGCCAGCAGCC
rnacentral:rRNA from 1 species